rnacentral:lncRNA from 1 species
GAAACUGGUGUCAUAUACAUGCCAACAUAGUAAGUGGUGGAAUAAUGGCUGUUGAAGCUUCUUCUAAACCAAGCAGGGUCUACGAUUUUGAUGAUGACGAAGAUGGUCCAGCAGUUUUUAAGCGGAAUACUGCUGCUUCUAGGCAAAACCUAGCAAACCCAGAAGUCAAAAGGCCAUCGUCAUCCACAGCCAAUGGUCAAAACUCUAAUGCCCCAAAGGAUAAGACAACAGUUUCAUCUUCCAAGGUGUUGCCAGUGAAAUCUCCUCCACCAAGCCAGAAAGCGACUACCUCAUCUGCCAAGGCAUCACCGUCGAAGUCACCUAUGAGGUCACCUGUAAAGUCACCUGUGAGGUCACCUGUGAAGUCACCAGUGGCUUUUCAACUCCGGUUAACAUCCAUAAAUAUAGUGUCUGUGUUUGUGUGUACAUUUUCAUUUUUUUUUCCUUUCAUUUAUAAAUAGAAUAAUAUCAACUUCGACAAGGCAUGAACGACAUAUUUUUGUGAAAAUGAAAAAAAAAAAAAAAGAGUGAGAACCCCUUUCUUGAUAUUAAAGCCAGUAUUAGAUUUAAAAGAUGACCACAAGGGACAUCAACGGCGAGAGGAAUAGUCAGCGAUCGAUAUCUGCAAAUCAAAGAAACUGAAGAUUAAUUAGAGAGCAGCAAGGAUGGAUGGUGAAAUCAAAAACUUGAUCAAGGUAUGGAUUGUAGCAAUUUCAUGUUUGAGCUAUUGAUACUUGAUAGCAUCAAAAUUACUGGAAGGACUUGUAGGUCAUGUUCGGUUGCAAGAAAGGAGGAGAGAGGAGAGGAAGGGAAAAGUGAGGAGGAGAAAGAAAAUGAGUAGAAAAUGAUGAAGAGAUUAAUUUCCGUUGUUCAGUUUGGCAUAUAAUUAAUAAAGGAAAGAAUUUAAUAAUUUUUAUUUAGACAAAUAUACUCUUCUAUUAAAUUUUUAAUAGUCAUUAUUAAAUAAACUAAAAAUAUGUUUAACUAUUUAAAAACCAGCCUCAAGAUUAACACUCAUUCUCAAUGUCCUGGCAACAUUUAUAUUGCCUUUAUUAAAAGUAUUUUUACACAUCAUUAUCAAAAGUGUUUUUACUAAUAAUUAUCCAAGUGCUUCUAUACAAACCACUUUUUUUUUCUUUUUCUUUCUUUUUCCAAUAAGAAACAUUAAUAUUAUUUCACAUAGAAAAGUCUAACAAAAACAAAAUAAAAAACUUAGUUAAAUUUCAAGUGUUUAAAUGAGUUAAAUUUCAUAAGUUAGACAUUAAUAAACUUAGCAUGAGUUAAAUUUUACCUCAAAGGAAAAGUCUAACCCCAUGUUUCUUUGUCCUCCUCACAAAGACUAUAAAAACAAAAAUAUAACAAAAAAUUAAAAAAACAUAACAAAAAGCUUAGUCAAAUUUCAAGUGUUCAAAUGAGUUAAAUUUCAUAAGCUGAGAAUAAAUUGGAAAAUAAUCAAGAGAAUCAUAUCAUCAUCUAUCAUAAAUGCAAUCAUGUCUAUUUAGCCUCUUAAUUUUAGGUAUACAAAACUCAAUGCAUAUACAUAGAAACUAAACCAACAUCAGAUAAAAUGAACUCAAAUUAAAUUACAGGUGGUAAAAAAACAAAAUGAGUAUCACAUCCAUUAUCCAGAAAAUGAAGUGAUAAUCCUAGUGUAUUUUAAAGAAUUUUCACAUCAUCUAUCUACUUGUUGUUUAUUACCACUAGAAAAUUAACUAUGAACCUUCUAAUAAGAAAAUGACUUCAAAGAUCAAAACACCAAAUUUUUAUACACAAAAAAAAAAAAAAAAUUAAUCAUGCAUCUAAUAAUACUUAUGGAUGCCACUACUAUAAUAAAUAAUCUAUUAUCUUACUAUUUAAAUAUCAAACAUAUUAGAAAGAGGGGAAAUAAAACAAAACAAACAUAAACAGUUUGCCAAAUACACUGAGCAAGCAGAUAUAUUAUUGUGUUUAUAUUAUUAAUCUUUGGUGAAGUUUGUGAGAUAUUCAAGUAUUCAAUAUGUUCAGAACAUGAUUACAAAACUCAUAAUUCACGAACCUCAUAGUUUACGAAAGCAGAUAAAAUUAACAAAUAAAGCAAAUAAUAAAAUUAGAAGAUCAAUAAGGAAGAAUCAAACUCUUUUUAACUGCACCCGGUUUUUCAUUUCAUCAAACACCUUUAGAAGCUAGUUGGUUCCUUAACCCAAAAACAUAAAUAAAUAAAUAAAUAAACAAGCAGAAAGAAUUAGAAAAGCAUCAUCAAUAGCAAGUAUGUGUGGAGAAGAAAAUUUAUUAGAACAUUAAAUUUAUGUUAUUUUGAAACUUCAAACAAUUUAAUGAAUCUUCUUCAUUAACUUCAGCAUAUACAAAAUUAAAAAACACCCCACAAAAUGUUUAGGUAGCAAUUAAUUAAAUAAAUAACAACAACAACAAAGUAACAGCUCAUACAGCAGGAAAUGUACCUAAUGAAAAUCAAUAUUGACAACUUGGAAAGCUCUAUACGAAGCUUUUUUAACACAAAAUAAAAUAAUUUUGAGCAAAACAGAGGGAAAGAGAAAGUUGACAGUUUUUUUUUUUUUUGUUUUGAUCACGAGGUAUCUUGAAGAGGGCUCCAACUGUGGGAGGCAUCUUUAAGCCCGUACCACAACCCAGACUAGAAGUCCCCGCUCGAACCGAGAGGCACAGGUUCUCCCAACAAAGGCGAUUUCCCUGCGACUCGAACCGGGGAGCAAACUCAAUUAAGUCACUUAAGGGAACUCCAUUGUCAGUAGAGCCAACACUUUGUUAGUAGAGAAAGUUGACAAUUAUCAUGACAUAAACACAUCAUGGAACAAACAUUUUACAGCAGAUCAAUUUCGAAAUCAUCGUAACCCUUACGAAAAAUUAAUUUCAAAGUUAUACAUGCAUGCAUAUGUCUGACUAAUUAAUUUCAAAGUUAUACAUGCAUGCAUGUCUGACUAACAGGACAUGAAUAUUUUUCAACACAUAGCUUGUUUUACCUAACAAGAUUUUCUGACCAUUAAAAAAAUCUAUAACACGGCUCAUGAUUCCAUUAACAAAUGAUUCUAUAGCAGUGAAGACCAUCACACAAAAGCGGAAGCACAAUCGAUUUUACCAAACCAAACCCACAAACAAAAGCAAAAGCAAGAUGAAAUGAACACAUCAUGGAACAAAAAGCCUAUAACACAUUGAUUUCGAAAUCACCGUAACCUUUACAAAAUCAAAUGCUAUUAAUCAUAAUUUCAUAGAUACAAUCGAACCAAAAAAUCAACAUUAAAUGUUAUUUACGCAUGACCUUGAAAAUUGGAUCAUCAAUGAGAGAGCCUAACUUGCAAAUUGAAAGAUAGAUAGAGAGAUUGAAUCUGCGAUUGCUAUUGAAGCUGAAAGUGAAGAUCAAAAGCUGAAACUGAGACUGUAAGCAAGAUGAUGAGAUGCUGCUGAAGCUGUGAAUGGUCUCUAACACUCAAAAGUUGCACAUGCGCUCUUUAUUGCCGGUGAAAGCCAUCGAAAGUUCAGAGAAUCCAUCGAUUUUAAGUGAGAUUUGAUCAACAUUUGAAGAAAGUGAUUAGGGACUUUUUAGGAAUCAUUUUAGAUUUAUUUAGGAAUUAAAUUAGAAAAUCAAAAUUCAAUAAGAGUAAAAGAGGAAAACAAAUCUUUUUAAUGAUGUGGAAUUCGAAUUUCCCUACUCUUCAACAAAGAAAUCGAAUUCCUUAAAUAACAGAAAGUGGGUACAGAAUGAAACUUAAUUCCCUAUUCACUUUUACUAACUAAACAAAGGAAAUUACAGAGGAAAGGGAAAAUCUCUCUUUUCCUCCCUUAAAUUCAUGGAACCGAACAUGCUUUAAGGCUUAUCUCUCUCUUUCAUGUCUUCUGCCUCUUCCUCAUACUACCUUCAAAUCUUUCCUCCAAACAUUUUUGUGGCGUCGCAUCCUUCUUCCUUGUUUGGCCUGCCAACUUCAAGCUUCUGCUUUUCGCUUUUGACCAAUUUGUGAAUAUUUGUAGUGGCAACCGGUUUAUGGUUGUUUUUCACUCAAAUAUGUAUUCAGAAACAAAUGGGAGGAAAAGGCCAUAACCGAGGUCUUCUUUUCAACCAAGUAAUUAUAACGUCACUUGCCACUUCAGUGACACAACAAGCGGUGUUUGUUUUGAGCAAGCUCACUCUUUCAGCCAAGUAAUUUUAUCUUUAGGGUGCGUUUGAGAUUGAGGUUGGACAGCUGUAAUUUUUAAACUACAGUAUUAAAGUGUUUGAUAAACAUUAGCUGUUGUAGCUUGUAAACUAUGUUGUUAUGAUUUUUCACUUGUAUAAUGAAAAAUUUAUUACAUCUUUAAUAAUUCAAAAUUAUUAUUUAAAAUUCAUAUUUACUACAUAUUAUUAACUUUUGUUUGAUAGUUACAGUUUUUUUUUCCACAAAGUUACAGCACCUCAAUCCUAAAUAGGGUGUUAAUCCUUAUCUUAAAUUAACUUGCUUUAAUUAUUCUUUUCAUUUCUGUUUUCAUCUAUCCUAUAGUUAAAAAUGUCUAAUCUCUAAUCUCUAUAACCAUUUGAGGAAAUUAUACAAUUAGAGAGUUCGGCAAGAAGUCCAAAAGAGGGGAAAAAAAAGAAAUGGCCUUCGAGUCCAAUUUUAGACCCAAAAACAAUUUAAAAAGUAAAAAAAAAUGAUAAUUCUUUAAAUAUCAUAGCUUAAACUUUGUUGACCACCUCGAUUACAAUUACUUUUUAUUUUAAAAAAAAAUUCUACAUGAAGAUCAGUCACCAAUUAACCAUGAAAACACUAUCAAUUAUGUUCAUUAACAAAAUAAUUUAAAAUUACUUAGAUGAAAUAUUUCGUACUCUAUAAGAUAAAUCGUGUCUAAACUUAUUAGGUUUAUAAUCUAAAACCUUACUCUUAUUAAAUAUGAAAAGGUAGAAGAAUAAGUACAUAACCUUUUAGAAAAUCACGAGCUUCUCAGUUCAGUGUGAUUCCUUAUUAUCAUAGACUAAAAUAUGUUACUUAUUCAAAUUAAAAAAAAGUCUAUUAGCCAUUCAAAAAAAAAAAAAAGUCUAUUAAAAUUUAAUGAGAUGCAUUCAGCGGAUUUGAACUCUUUUUUAUUUAAGUCUAUUAAAAUUUAAUGAGAUGCAUUCAGUCUAUUAAAAUUUAAUGAGAUGCAUUCAGCGGAUUUGAACUCUUUUUUAUUUAUUGAAUUGUUAUUUUAAGUUAUUAAAAUAAUUCAUAAAAAGAAUGGUUCUCAACUUCCAAUAACUCUAUAUAUAACCCUCCCCUUAACCCCAUAAUAAAUCACCUCCUUCGAAAUCCAUUUUUCCCUCCUCCUCAAGCUUCUUCGUUAUAUUGAGUAAAAAAUAAAAAUAUUUUAUUCUAAUUAAGGCUUUUGAAUGAAAUGUGGGUUAAGGCCCAAAAGAGACAAAAAAGGCCAGGCUCGGCCCAUUAAUAUUUGCCCCAAAUUUCAUCCAUUAGGGCUCAAAUUUCCAGCUUUAUCACCUGCACCACCACUACCAAGAGACAGAGAAAUUGAGAGCAAACGAGAGAGAGGGAGGAGAGAUUGAAGGACUCAUUUGAUCUGCUCCGUCACCAACUCGAUCUAUUAUUUAUCAAGGUUCAAUUUCAUUUUGUUUUUCUACUUAAUUUAUGAUAAACGGUUGCCCACUUUUUCUUUUCAAUGUUUAAAAAGGGUCUCUUUUAGCUUAAUUUUUGCAUUAUUUGUUAGGUUUUGUUGUUCCCCUCAUCUGAGUUUCUGUUAAUUAUUUCUAUUUAUUUUGUAAAAGCUUUUGCUUCUAGCUUCAGUUUCUGAGUGUGCUCCUCUUUUUUUUUUUGGUGGGCGGCGUUCUGGUUGUUUCUAGUCCGGAAAUUAGUUUUUAUUUUCGAGAAAAAAAUUUGUAUUUUUAAAUGUUAUCAUGCUUUGUUUGCAUUGAAUUUGGUUAAUUGGCAGCUAGUAGUUGCCAAAGCUCGGACAAAAUAGAGCCCAUGAAUUUGUUUGAUUUUGAUGACUUUUCUUUAACAUUUAUUAACUGAUAUGUUUAGCUCAUUGUUAUUUAAUUUAGGUCUGUAAUAGAAAAAUUGUCCUUAUUGUAAUGGAUUACUUCUCAUCGAAGCAAAGCCCCCUUUUUCCUGAUUGGGUGGUAGUGUUUGGUUUUUAAUUUUCAGCCAUGUUGUAGUUUUUCUCUGGAAAGUCAGUAGAGUGCCAUCCUCAGGAAGAAUUGACGUACAUUUGGCUUCCUUAGCAUUGUUUUUGUUGAUUAUGGUGACUUAUUUGUUGAAUUUGACAUCAUCAUGGUUAGUGCUGGAUAUCUCAAAUAUUUUCAUUCAACAUUGAAUGUUGAGAAUAUUUUCUUGUAAUAAUAAUAGUGUUAAACUGCUUCAAAUGUGUAUUAACUGUAAUUUCGGUACUCUUAUAUUUGUCAGAAACUGGUGUCAUAUACAUGCCAACAUAGUAAGUGGUGGAAUAAUGGCUGUUGAAGCUUCUUCUAAACCAAGCAGGGUCUACGAUUUUGAUGAUGACGAAGAUGGUCCAGCAGUUUUUAAGCGGAAUACUGCUGCUUCUAGGCAAAACCUAGCAAACCCAGAAGUCAAAAGGCCAUCGUCAUCCACAGCCAAUGGUCAAAACUCUAAUGCCCCAAAGGAUAAGACAACAGUUUCAUCUUCCAAGGUGUUGCCAGUGAAAUCUCCUCCACCAAGCCAGAAAGCGACUACCUCAUCUGCCAAGGCAUCACCGUCGAAGUCACCUAUGAGGUCACCUGUAAAGUCACCUGUGAGGUCACCUGUGAAGUCACCAGUGGCUAAUUCAAAAGAAUCAAGUCCUUUAGAUGAUAGGUUAAAACAAUCGCCGCAGCACAAUGCGCUGGCUGUUGUGAAGAAGGAAGAAAUUAAGGAUGGCAAUGGCUUGAAAAGUGAUGACAAUGAUUCUGAGGAUGACAAACCAUUGAGUGCUAGGCUUAAGGGUAACAGCAAAAAUGUCAACCAA